AGUUAAAACACUUGCUGUUGUAUCAGCAAAUAAAACUCCAAUUAUAUUAUCAGCAAUUUGAUCUUCAUUUAAUACCAAAAAUCCUUUUUCUUCUUUAGCAUUCAAGAAACAACUCAACAACCCUUUUUCUAGUGUCUUCUUCUCCUUCAUUUCUAUUAUUUCACUCAAAAUCUUCCCAAGUUUCUUUCUUGCUUGAAGGGCUUUUCUGUAAAGAGUCCCUGGCAAAUUUAUUGGAAAUGAAUUAUAACCUUUAUCAACUAUGCUAUAAUUCUUCUUCAAUUCUUCCUUAACAUGACCAUCCAAAUGUCCAAAUAUUGCAAGUAUACCUACUUCAAAAGAAAACUUUUUCAUCUCAUGAUAAGUGUUGACAACAUGUCCUCCAACCCAGGAAUUCAAUGCAGAAAUCGAUAAUUCUUCGAUAUAAGGGAUUUGAUUUCGAAUGGAUUCUGGAUUUAAAGGAGCUUGAACAAGUUUUCUAAGGUGAUUAUGAUAAUCUCCUUGAUGAAAAAAAAUUGCAGAUUGACCAAUUAAAUUCUCUUUACUUUUAGGAUAAGUUGGCUUAAACAAAUUUGCUUGGUUCACUAGUACAAAUCUAGCAGCUUCUGGACUUGCCAACAUCACACAUGGACAACCUAGAAUUUUUGUCUUAAAAAUUUCACCAAACCUUCUUUGCCUAUUAAUGAAGAAGGCAUUAGGGUCUUGAGAGUAAAGUUGAAGAGUUUCACCAAUAUAAGGCCAUCCCAUUGAUCCAGGAGGAAGUUUAUAAGCAUUUUUCUUGGAUGAUGAAUUGUUAUUUUUGCCAAAACAAAAAUAAUAAGACAAGUAACCAAGAACAAACAUAGAGAUAUAGAGAAAUAUUUCAAAGUAAUUAACCAUGUUGCUAUUUUUUUGUUAUGUAGAAUGGACAAAUGAAGUUUGUU
rnacentral:misc_RNA from 1 species